UUAACUCAAAUUUGUAUGGAGUUGGAUCGUUUGCCUACGUUUGCCGCUAGGGGCGCUGUUCCAACUGCAUACAAAACUGGAUUA
rfam:Bombyx mori DNA, contig: Bm_scaf39_contig22844, strain: p50T/Dazao, build 2, whole genome shotgun sequence.